ACAAUAACAAACAUUAAGAAACUCCAUCUUAUCAUUAUGCAUUUUGAAGGAUUAGAUCUUAAUAAUUGUUGUAUUAGGAUAGGUGAGGGUAACAGUAGUAAUAAUAAAAGAAAGCCAGAUGAGGCAUGACUGUGAACUAGGCAGCCUCACAAGAGAAAUUAUGUAUUUUAAAACUUGCUUAAAAAUAAUCAAAAUAAUCAGACUAAACAUGUUUUGUGGCUGAGAUUUGAGGUUUCUAUGGUAAAGAAAAUUUUGGUUAUAGUCUUGUAAGCUGUAAUGCUAUGUAGUCUUACUACAAGUGGUUACUAAUGUUUUGAAGGAAUGUACAGCCUAUUAAACACUGGUUAUCACAUACAAGACCAUAAAGCAUCACAACCUAGACUCUACAAUGCAUAUUUUGUAAUCAUAACAAAUGACAAGGAUAACUAACUCCAUGCAGCAGAAUCAUCUUGAGAAGCUAAUAGUUACUUAGCUAGCCAAGAAAUUUCCUGUCCUUUAUGAAACCUAAGAAUACCAUGUUCACCAGAACCCCACCACUGGUCCCUAUUCUGAGACAAAUGAAUUGAGUUCACACCUUCUUACUUUUUUCUAUAAGGUUCAAUUUAAUAGUAUGUUUCAGAGGUCCUUGCUUAUUCCAUCAUCAAGGCAAUUAGGAGGCAGCAAGGAACUAUGAAAUAUCAGUAAACUUCUACCAGACUACAUAGCGCAACAAACCAGAAAACAGCCAUCUUCAAACUCACCACCGUGAAAACUUCAAAUCCUACAUAAUUCAUUCUUCCCUUACAAAAAUGUAAACCACGAUGGCAGUGUUAUGAAAUCAAUGUACAACUUCCAGAUUUGUGGCAGUAAUUAACAACCCACCUAUAUGAAAUUUGAUACAGAGAUCAUAAACAUGCCUACAAGUUCCAUCAUAUGUACUCUGCAAGUUAAAAAUUGAAAAAUAUCAAAAGCAUGAAACUCAGAAUAUAUCCAAUAAAUUAAA